rnacentral:rRNA from 1 species
UACGAAGGGGGCUAGCGUUGUUCGGAAUUACUGGGCGUAAAGCGCGUGUAGGCGGGUCUUUAAGUCAGGGGUGAAAUGCCAGGGCUCAACCUUGGAACUGCCUUUGAUACUGGAGACCUUGAGUCCGGGAGAGGUGAGUGGAAUUGCGAGUGUAGAGGUGAAAUUCGUAGAUAUUCGCAAGAACACCAGUGGCGAAGGCGGCUCACUGGCCCGGAACUGACGCUGAGACGCGAGAGCGUGGGGAGCAAACAGG